rnacentral:sRNA from 2 species
UUCUAGCCCGGAUAGAAACGGCAUCCUUUUUUUUCGCGUUGGCUUUAGGGAAGGCAAAAAAAAGAUAUAGUGGAUAGCCGGACCGGUU